UACGGGGGGAGCAAGCGUUGUUCGGAUUUACUGGGCGUAAAGGGCGCGUAGGCGGUCAGCACAAGUCAGUUGUGAAAUCUCCGGGCUUAACUCGGAAAGGUCAACUGAUACUGUGCGACUAGAGUGCGGAAGGGGCAACUGGAAUUCUCGGUGUAGCGGUGAAAUGCGUAGAUAUCGAGAGGAACACCUGCGGCGAAGGCGGGUUGCUGGGCCGACACUGACGCUGAUGCGCGAAAGCCAGGGGGAGCGAACGGG
rnacentral:rRNA from 1 species